GUCAGGUAAACACAGCGGGCGGUUACAAACUCUCCCCCUUUAAAUGUCAACUUUUUAUUUUCUCCAGGCACACACUCUUUCUCUGCUUUUCGUCUGCCCUUUCCUGAGCAAUAACAAAAACAAACUGAGGUAAAGGGAACAGAAUUGUUACGAAGGAGGCCGUUCGGCCCGACGUGCCCUGUUCCCCGCUCUCCUUAUGAACCUUGGUGACUGGGUGGGUCCUGUCUCUCGCCUUUAUACCGUAUGCACAUUUCCAGAAAUGGGAGGAUCCGGCGGGGCGGGGGAAAGCCGAAGGGCGAGGACGUGAAGGGGAGAAUAAGAGAAAAGAAAGGGAAAAGGCGUUGGGGGCGAAGCAGGUCGAUCCUCAAUUUCGUGGAGGCUGCAGGUCCAUCCUAGAAGGUUGGUGGCUCUAAUGCAGAGCUGGACUUUGUGUCCUGCCCCAUCGGUGGAGUUCAGGUUUCUACUGGGACAGAGGGAGUAAGCUAGUGGUCAAGAAAUUUGGAUCCAGCUGCUGCUCUUGGGGUCUGGGCCCCAGCCUGAGCCCACUUCACCCAAGAGUUUUGGGCCCUAUAUAUUGGUCCUUGCAUACACUUGACAAGCCAGUUCCGGGCCCACGAGGAGGAAACGGAAACCGGUGAGCCAGAUGGAAAAAAGAAUUGUUGAGUAAAUACCAAACGAGGCUACAAGAGCAAGGGAACUUUUACAUAAUACCAAAUGAGACAAAUGAAGUUCUUUGGACAUGUUAUCUUUGCAGAAGUGUUGGAGCUGAAUCACUGGCAGAAGGAUUAACAGAAGAUGAUCAAGAGGCCAACAAUGAAGGCUCCAGCUUGAGAAUAGUAAAGACUGGCUUAAUCAGAACUCCAGAAACAAGGACACCUGCUGAUGCUAUGAUCAGAAAGUUUGGAAGACUAAGACCUUGUAACUCAUGUCACUUGGCAUGACACUUAGACAUUCCUUUUGGUAGCAACUUUCAUAUUUUUACUAAUCUCUGGGUAAAGUGGAUUUUCUUGA